rnacentral:rRNA from 1 species
UACGUAGGAUGCUAGCGUUGUCCGGAUUUACUGGGCGUAAAGCGCGCGCAGGCGGCACUGUAAGUAAGGUGUGAAAUCUCCCUGCUCAACGGGGAGGGUGCACUUUAGACUGCAGAGCUAGAGGACGGUAGAGGGGGGUGGAAUUGCUGGUGUAGCGGUGAAAUGCGUAGAGAUCAGCAGGAACACCCGUGGCGAAGGCGGCUUUCUGGGACGGUACUGACGCUGAGACGCGAAAGCGUGGGGAGCGAACAGG